rnacentral:rRNA from 1 species
GACGUAGGGCGCAAGCGUUGUCCGGAUUUAUUGGGCGUAAAGAGCUCGUAGGCGGCUUGUCGCGUCGACUGUGAAAACUCACGGCUCAACCGUGGAACUGUAGUCGAUACGGGCAGGCUAGAGUUCGGUAGGGGAGACUGGAAUUCCUGGUGUAGCGGUGAAAUGCGCAGAUAUCAGGAGGAACACCAAUGGCGAAGGCAGCACUCUGGGACGUGACUGACGCUGAGACGCGAAAGCGUGGGGAGCAAACAGG